AUUGAACGCUGGCGGCAGGCCUAACACAUGCAAGUCGAGCGGAGCGGCGGACGGGUGAGUAAUGACUAGGAAUCUGCCUGGUAGUGGGGGAUAACGUACGGAAACGGGCGCUAAUACCGCAUACUAUCAGAUGAGCCUAGGUGGGAUUAGCUAGUUGGUGGGGUAAGGGGCUACCAAGGCGACGAUCCGUAACUGGUCUGAGAGGAUGAUCAGUCACACUGGAACGGGUACACGGGACAGACGCCGACGGGAGGCAGCAGUGGGGAAUAUGGGACAAGGGGCGAAAGCCUGAUGAAGCCAUGGCGGGUAUGGGAAGAAGGUCUUCGGAUUGUAAAGCACGUUAAGCUGGGAGGCGUUACCAACAGAAUAAGCACCGGCUAACUACGUGCCAGCAGCCGCGGUAAUUC
rnacentral:rRNA from 1 species